rnacentral:rRNA from 1 species
GAUGAACGCUAGCGGCAGGCCUAAUACAUGCAAGACGAACGGUAAGUUGAGUAGCAAUACUUAGCCAAGAGUGUCGUACGGGUGCGUAACACGUAUGCAACCUACCCUAUACAGGAGGAUAGCCUAGGGAAACCUGGAUUAACCCUUCAUAGUAUUAUUGGAUGGCAUCAUUUGAUAAUUAAAACUGAGGUGGUAUAGGAUGGGCACGCGUCUGAUUAGUUAAUUGGCGGGGUAAUGGCCCACCAAGACGAUGAUCAGUAGGGGUUCUGAGAGGAAGAUCCCCCACACUGGCACUGAGAUACGGGCCAGACUCCUACGGGAGGCAGCAGUAGGGAAUAUUGGUCAAUGGAUGCAAGUCUGAACCAGCCAUGCCGCGUGCAGGAAGAAGGCCUUCUGGGUUGUAAACUGCUUUUGCCAGGGGAUAAAAUUUCCAUGCGUGGAAAACUGAAGGUACCUGGUGAAUAAGCCACGGCUAACUACGUGCCAGCAGCCGCGGUAAU